AUGGCAGCUGACCCAGCACCCCUCAAUCAGGAAGAGCUCGUGAUCAUCAAGAUGGAGGAAGAUGAGGCUACCCCAUGGGAUCCUGAACCCCUCUCCAGUCCUCAGCCCUCAACCCUGCUGCCCAGACUCUGUAGGGACCCCCAGCAGCACCUCUGCAGCUUCCACUAUGAAGAGACAGCAGGGCCCCAAGAGGCCCUAGCCAGGCUACAGGAACUGUGCCGCCAGUGGCUGCGGCCCGAAGCACACCCCAAGGAGCAGAUGCUGGACCUAUUAAUGCUGGAUGCCAAAGCACCGAGGGGGGUCCACAAGGCUAUCAACCUGCAGGUGAAGUUUGAGAUGUUGUGGUGCUUCGAAGCCGGAGAGAAGCUUAGCAGAAUUGGGAAGGUGUUGGGGCUGUCCACCUCUACUGUGGCUACCAUUUGUGACAACAAGGAGAAGAUCCGAGCGAGUUCCCAGGCGGCCACCAGAUUGAUGCGCAGCCGCAGCCUGGUGAUGGAGAACAUGGAGCGGCUGCUAAGCGUGUGGAUCGAGGACCAGAACCAGCGCAAUGUGCCCAUCAGUGUCUUCCUCAUCCAGGAGAAGGCUCGCAGCCUGUUUGAGGACCUCAAGCGGGAGCAGGGUGAGGGUGCCCAAUCGGAGACCUUCGGGGCUAGCUGAGGGUGGUUCACGCGGUUCAAGGCCCGACAUAGCCUGCCUGGUCUUGGGAGUGAUCCAGGAGGGCGGCUACACACCCCGGCUGGUGUUCAACAUGGGUGGGACUGGACGUUUCUGGAAGCGACUGCCUGCCAGGAUGCUCCUUUCCCUGGAGGAGAAGUCAGCCCUGGGGUGCAGAGCUGCCCGAGAUCUCCUGACCUGCGGCUUGGUGGCAGUGCAGCUGGAGACCUCAAGCUGAAGCUGCUGCUGCUGUAUCCCUCAGAGAACCUGCGUGCUCUCAAGGGCUGCUCCAGGCCCAACCUGCCCAUGGUGUGGCGUUCACACAAGAAAGCCUGGGUGACCAUGAGCAUCCUCCAGGAGUGGUCUGUGCACUUCUGCCCAGCUGUGGAGAGGGACUGUGCCCGGUACGGCCUCCCGUACAAAGCCCUGCUCAUCCUGGACAGUGCCCCUGGCCACCCUGGGAACCUGGAUGACCUAUCGGACCACGUGCGUGUGCUGUACCUGCCCAAGAAAACCAUGGCCCUCGUCCAGCCCAUGAACCAGGACAUUGUUGCCACAUUCAAGGCCUGCUACCCACGGACGGUCUUCCGCCUGUUGGCGUUGAGGGUGGGAGACAGGGACCAGCGGUUGGUGGUCCUUGACUUCUGGCGAGACUACAGCAUUCUUGACACCGCCUACAACAUCUCUGAGUCCUGGGAGGAGGUCCCGCCAGCUACCCUAAAUGGGGGGUGGAGGAAGCUGUGGCUCGAGGGCAUCCAGCAGGAUGCCAACAGGCUGCACGUAGCAACUCUACCGCAGAUCCUGCAGGACAUCCUGGCAUUGGCCCGUGGUGUGGGUUUUAGAGAGGUGACCGAGGCAGAUGUGGUGGAGCUUCUGCAGAGCCCCGGGCGGGCCUCUCCAUUGAGGAGCUGAUGGGACUGGAGCAGGGGCAUGCAGCUGGAGAGGAGGGAGAGGACGGCUUGCCCAGCUCACCUCCAGACACUGGGCCAUGGCUUUAGCAUACUGUGAUGCUGGUCUGCAGAUCUUCAGUGACAAUGACCCCAACCUGGAGCGCAGCCUCUGAGUCUGCCGGGGCAUAAACAACAUAGUCACCUGCUAUCGGGAGGUUUUCAAGGAGAAGAGAGGCUCCAAGUAGUGGUGGUGGUGCUGGUGGCGGGGGCUUGGGAGCUCCAGGCACACAGGACUCCGUCGGGGAGAGGGCUUCCUCAUGACUCCCUUUGUUCAUGUUGAAGUUGCAAUGGCCUGAAUUUUUCCAUUUCAUUAUAUUAAUUCCCCAAAUGAUUUUUAUCAGCAAAUAAUUUAUUAUCCCAAGUGAACUUCUCAAAUACAUGGU